rnacentral:RNase_P_RNA from 1 species
GAAGCCAAUCAAGCAGUCGCUGAUUGUAUAACAGUUAGAGGAAAGUCCGGGCUCCAUAGGACAAGACGCCAGGUAACGCCUGGGGGGCGCAAGCCUACGGCUAGUGCAACAGAAAGUAUACCGCUCUUAAUAGAGUAAGGGUGAAAUGGUGCGGUAAGAGCGCACCGCAUUUUUGGUAACAAAAAUGGCAGGGUAAACCCCGUCUGGAGCAAGACCAAAUAGGAAUCCUAUAGGCGUGGUCCGCGCUGGAUUCGGGUAGGUUGCUUGAGCUACGCGGCGACGCUUAGCCUAGAUAGAUGACUGCUCACGACAGAACCCGGCUUAUCGAUUGGCUUCAUCA